AAAGAAGAAGAAUGAAAAAUA
rnacentral:sRNA from 1 species